rnacentral:misc_RNA from 1 species
GAUGAAGAACGUAGCGAAAUGCGAUAAGUAAUGUGAAUUGCAGAAUUCAGUGAAUCAUCGAAUCUUUGAACGCACAUUGCGCCCGCCAGUAUUCUGGCGGGCAUGCCUGUUCGAGCGUCAUUACAACCCUCAGGCCCCCGGGCCUGGCGUUGGGGAUCGGCGGAGCCCCCCGUGGGCACACGCCGUCCCCCAAAUGCAGUGGCGGUCCCGCCGCAGCUUCCAUCGCGUAGUAGCUAACACCUCGCGACUGGAGAGCGGCGCGGCCACGCCGUAAAACACCCAACUCUUCUGAAGUUGACCUCGAAUCAGGUAGGAAUACCCGCUGAACUUAAGCAUAUCAUAAGCGGAGA